GGCUGCUCUAAGUGCAGUGCUAUUUACAACUAAUUGAUCACAACCAGCUACAGUUUCCUUUGUUCUUGCUCCACUCCCACUGCUUCACUUGACUAGCCUAAA
rnacentral:Y_RNA from 1 species